rnacentral:lncRNA from 1 species
UAGAUUUGGAUGUGAAAAACUGUUGCACUACCUCUACCACCUCGCUCCUAAUAAUCAUCCAAUACCACCUAAAAAAGAAAGGUAGAAAACCAUCCAGGCUGGGAGCCUUAUCCUCCGCCAUAGCAUAGAAGGCUCUGUAGACCUCCUUCGCCUAUAUCGGACUAAUCAACAUGUCAUUGUCCCACGUCGAAACAUGAUCAGUGGGAGAAGGAAUGACAGACAUCUCACCUCUCCC